UCCUGACUGACCGAUAGUGAACCAGUACCGUGAGGGAAAGGCGAAAAGAACCCCGGCGAGGGGAGUGAAAAAGAACCUGAAACCGUGUACGUACAAGCAGUGGGAGCACAGGUUUACCUGUGUGACUGCGUACCUUUUGUAUAAUGGGUCAGCGACUUAUAUUCUGUAGCAAGGUUAACCGAAUAGGGGAGCCGGAGGGAAACCGAGUCUUAAUUGGGCGUUAAGUUGCAGGGUAUAGACCCGAAACCCGGUGAUCUAGCCAUGGGCAGGUUGAAGGUUGGGUAACACUAACUGGAGGACCGAACCGACUAAUGUUGAAAAAUUAGCGGAUGACCUGUGGCUGGGGGUGAAAGGCCAAUCAAACCGGGAGAUAGCUGGUUCUCCCCGAAAGCUAUUUAGGUAGCGCCUCGUGAAUUCAUCUCCGGGGGUAGAGCACUGUUUCGGCUAGGGGGCCAUCCCGGCUUACCAACCCGAUGCAAACUGCGAAUACCGGAGAAUGUUAUCACGGGAGACACACGGCGGGUGCUAACGUCCGUCGUGAAGAGGGAAACAACCCAGACCGCCAGCUAAGGUCCCAAAGUCAUGGUUAAGUGGGAAACGAUGUGGGAAGGCCCAGACAGCCAGGAUGUUGGCUUAGAAGCAGCCAUCAUUUAAAGAAAGCGUAAUAGCUCACUGGUCGAGUCGGCCUGCGCGGAAGAUGUAACGGGGCUAAACCAU
rnacentral:rRNA from 1 species